UACGGAGGGUGCAAACGUUGCUCGGAAUCAUUGGGCGUAAAGCGCACGUAGGCGGUCCAGCAAGUCGGGUGUGAAAGCCCUCGGCUUAACCGAGGAAGUGCAUUCGAAACUACUGGACUUGAAUACUGAAGAGGAUCGCGGAAUUCCCGGUGUAGAGGUGAAAUUCGUAGAUAUCGGGAGGAACACCAGUGGCGAAGGCGGCGAUCUGGGCAGAUAUUGACGCUGAGGUGCGAAAGCGUGGGGAGCAAACAGG
rnacentral:rRNA from 1 species